CUCUGCCCAAUCAGUCUCAAAAGUCUAAAACGCGUCUUGUCCCUUCAUUUUCUAUUCUCCUUCAAGACGUUUCGAAAAACCAAGAGCUUAGUAUAAUCACUCUGAAAUCUGCUCUACUCCGAAACCAUCCCUCCAUUUCUCCCUUAACCUGCUUCAGUCUGGUUCUCUCACCCUUUCGAUUUCUUCUUGAAUCUCUGCGACUCCAGGGACUCGUCCGACCAGGGCUUUCCUGCAUGCGAUUGCUUCCGCUCCAAAGGCUGACGAAACCCAUUGAUGAACCUCCGAACAAGAUAAGAGAACUGAACCCUCUUUGUCUCUGACCACAACUCCUAUAGCCGCUUUAUUUUGUCCUCUUUCAUAAGCUGCAUCAAAAUUGAUUUUGACAAAUCUGUUCGUUGGUUUUACCUAUUUAUUCACAGUUAUGGAAGUUUGUCGACUAGUUUUAUCAACUGAAUCUAACUCUAAAAUGUAACUAUUAACAAAUCUCCCUAUUUUUUUGCAGAUUUGCCUCCUUUAUUAUGUAAUCUGUUGUUUCUAUCACCCCAAAUAGCCCAAACUGCAACACAAAAAAUUCGACGGUGGGAUGCUAAACACUGUGAAAAAACCCAGGGCAUUCUCGAAAAAGAUGUUCCAUGGAUUCAGAUCCAGAACCACACCGAGGACACAUUGAAUUACUAGUUAGUCGUCUAAGUAGCAUAUUAACGCGAGUAGCUAGGAAAUUCCACGAGAUCUUCUAAACUGUAAUUUUAAUUUUUGAAGGUAGAUCGAGAAGUCAUAGUUUCCUGUAGAAGUCCUUAUAGUGAUCUUGUAAAGCAUAAGCUCUAGGAUCAUUUGCAGUAUUUUGUAAUAGUUUAUAGGCGCUACGUACUGUGAACUCCCCCGACGCUUCAGCACUCCAAACUUGAAAAUCUUCGUGUGGUCUUUCAGCCAGCGGGAUACUGAGAAUCAUCUCGGCUACAUCCUCCGAGAAGGUGGUAUCUGAGUGCAAUUACUCAUCUCAUGCCCCAUUCUUCCACAUCCAAAACAGAACAAUGGCAGAUUUUCAUACUUAAAAGGGAUCCAAAUUUUACUAACAUAAUUAGUAUAGACAAAAAUACCUCUUCUAAGUGGUUUCUGGGCAUCUAAAUUGAUUCUGAGUCGACAAAAUUUCUCACUAACUUCAGAUCUGAGAACCCCACCAAACGUUCCACCAAUAGCAUGCAGUAAAUCUUUCUUAUCGAAUUUUGGAGAACACGAUUCAAUUUUUAUCCAAAACGGGGAUAAAGUAAGCUUGAUCUGAUCCCUCUCCAUCGCUUGGCAUAGUCUGUCAAACAGAAUUAAAUUUUUUCGAAAACGCCAAGGCCUCCCCUCCAAAAUCAAUUCUAGAUCUUCUUCCAACUCAAAAAUUAUUAGAAAUAAAUUUUGACCCACCACCUGGAUCUCAAACUUCUUCCUUAUCUUCCAUAUAUCUUUCAUAUGAGCCCUAAAGCUAUCUGGGUUAUACAUCUUUUCUGUCCAAACCGUACAUAUCAAUGUAGGUUUAGAAUUUGGUACCACCAUCGAGCUUUUGACUGAUAACUGAACUAGUUCUUCGGCAAGAAGAGAGAUCUCAUCCCUCCUCUCUCG